AAGUCGUAACAAGGUCUCCGUAGGUGAACCUGCGGAGGGAUCAUUAACACAAAGAAAAAAACAACUCGAGCGAUCGGGGCGUUUUUUCUCUUUUUCUAUCACACCCAUCUAACGUGAACUAGUAUGCCCAUACUUUUCUUUGCAAUGCAAUGUUAAGCUUUUUGCCUGUCACAGGCAUUGCUAAUGUUGUUUUGCUAAAAUUUAUAACUUUUUGUAACAACUGCAAACCAUUUCCAAACAAAUUUUCAACAAUGUAAACUGUGAUCAGUUCAACCAGCCUUGUGCUUGUGUUGUUUCUGUUUCUAGCAUUGACUAAUAUAUAGAGUACAACUCUUAGCAACGGAUAUCUUGGUUCUC
rnacentral:misc_RNA from 1 species